rnacentral:sRNA from 1 species
AGAGCAGAAUUUGACUCAAAUCCUAGCCACUGCCCAGGUUCAGCACAGAGAGCAACUUUGUAAACUUUUGCCUACACACUUUGUUGCCAGCCAGUGUGCCUCUGCCUUAACCUGGAGAAGACCAUCUCUAGGGCUGAGACAGGAGUUCAGUCUCCAUGACCUACUAAGCAAUUAAAAUA